UUAGAAUAAGACACGAGAUCGAAUAUUUUGAAAAAAAAAAUACAAUUAUGUAAAAAAUAGAUAUGAGGAAAAAGAUUAUUACAAAACAAGAAACAUAUAGCAGGUAUCGUAGAUUCGGUUAGUUUACAAAUGAAGUAAACUUUAGAUGACAGCCUAAGUAUCAUAAACUAACUAAAAUAAAGAAUAAGGAUUACCUGUUAAGGUUGGUUGUUUAGCUUUAAGAUAUGCUACAACUGGAAUCGGUUUGGUAUAAUAUAGCCGGUUAGUGGUUCAGGACCGGUCAGGUUAGGUUAAGAUUAGAUGUGAUGUUAGUUCAACACCUACCAAUCGUGUGUGUUUGGUCUUGGAGAGAGAUUCGAUUGGGAUCCGACGGCUCGUGACUCGUGAACGAUGGAAGAAGGAAGGGUGUGCACUGCAAUGCCAUUAUAGAGGGGAGAAUCGAAGCAGACGUAGGAUUUUUUUUUUUUUUUUUUUUUUUUCUUUGGGUUGACGUCAACCAUUGAAUAAAUGACACGUGGAAAACAUUAAGAAGAGCGUCUUGAUAAAAGAAUAAAUGCUUUUCUUUCAUUUGUUAAAAAGAAAGGAGAAAAAUAAAAAUACCUUGUCUAAUCCUUCACGCCGCGUCUUAGCCAUUUAAAAAAAAAAAAAAACAAAAAAGGAAAGCUUUCAGACAACACUGAGGUUUUGCUUUCAGCUUGGCUUAUAUAUUACAGUAUUAUUGUCUAUCGGCUCGGCUGGGC
rnacentral:lncRNA from 1 species